rnacentral:rRNA from 1 species
AUUGAACGCUGGCGGCAUGCCUCACACAUGCAAGUCGAACGGUAACAGGUCUUCGGAUGCUGACGAGUGGCGAACGGGUGAGUAAUACAUCGGAACGUGCCUAGUAGUGGGGGAUAACUACUCGAAAGAGUGGCUAAUACCGCAUGAGAUCUACGGAUGAAAGCAGGGGAUCGCAAGACCUUGUGCUACUAGAGCGGCCGAUGGCAGGUUAGGUAGUUGGUGGGAUAAAAGCUUACCAAGCCGACGAUCUGUAGCUGGUCUGAGAGGACGAUCAGCCACACUGGGACUGAGACACGGCCCAGACUCCUACGGGAGGCAGCAGUGGGGAAUUUUGGACAAUGGGCGCAAGCCUGAUCCAGCAAUGCCGCGUGCAGGAUGAAGGCCUUCGGGUUGUAAACUGCUUUUGUACGGAACGAAAAGACCUGGGUUAAUACCCUGGGGUCAUGACGGUACCGUAAGAAUAAGCACCGGCUAACUACGUGCCAGCAGCCGCGGUAACAC